rnacentral:tRNA from 1 species
GCCGGUUUAGCUCAGUCGGUAGAGCACCUGAUUUGUAACCAGGCGGUCGCGGGUUCGAGCCCUGCAGCCGGCG